rnacentral:sRNA from 1 species
UCAGAGACAUGAUGUAGGAUCUCCAGUGCUCACUCUGAAUGAAGCAGAAUAAAGAGAAAGCCACAAAAGCUCGCUCUCAAGAUCAUUUCUCAGGCAUUGGGGAUUUGGAGGUUCGUCUUGGUUUUAGAGAGAACAAGCUCUGAAGUCUUUCUACCCUGUGGUAUCUUCGCCUCACUCAUUACAGCAUCCUCUCGGUAAAACCAUAUACAAAUGUUGGACGGGAAGGUACGCGAAUAUGGGAGACGUUCUUGUGGAUGUCGAACCAAUCCUAGACGAAUACAGCUGCGAGAAGAAAGGAUAUGAUAGCAGAGGCUCCGUGGAUGGGUUGACAGUCAACAAGGUAACUCUUCGCAUCAUAUCGAAAGAAAUCCCUUAAUAGCCCUAGGUUUCUACCGUUAAUUUGCGGGCCUAGCUGUUGUUGCUGCGCAGCAUUUCACCUGAUGAUGUUGCAUCAUUUAAAAUUUGAAGAACGCACCACUCCCUCACUGCGUGGUACUCAUUGCAUUGUUAAUCUUGCAAUUUCAUCAUAUAGACGACGGCAAUCAUAUUGGGUACUAGUAGAUAGCGUGAUGGAGACUGAGGACUGAAGAGAAGUUGAAAUUAUUUAAAUGAACGGGGGGUGACAAUGGAUCUCUCCAAUGAUGGGACAUCAAAACUUUAUUCUCGGUGGAAAGGGUGAUAGUUGGCACACUCUACCAUGUUUCUUGAACACCUUCCCUAACUGAUUUUUAUCAUUCUUACCGUGCAUGUAUAUUCCAACAGAUGAGCUACAGAUGGAAACGAAGGAGGUCGCAUUUUACAAGUUGUCCACCCAUAUAAAUACGCGCCGUAGCCACAUACGCUUUCCAUAUCUUUUUCUUCCAAAGGCCGAUAAUUUACACGGAAGUUCACCCAAUAUCUCUCCACUCCAGAUGAUAACGUGUUGAUAACAAGUACAGUCAAGCGCGUAUCAGUUCAGCAAAGAGUAGGAGCUCUUCGAUAUAGCAGGUCAGUUCUUGGCAAGCUCCUUGCUGCCGACUCCACGACAAAAUUAGUGAUAUCGUGUAGCCCCAUCGGCUUUCCGCGAGGCCCGUACGGUCACAGAAAGUGCAAUUGAACGCUGUAUAUAUACAUAGUAUGCGGUUGCGAAGAAAGAAUUUGUAGCAGCGUACGUCUUGGGGCUUGGUCUAAUUUCUUACAAAAGCGAAGUUGUAACGAUCUCGGCUCAGCCGCCUCUAACCGCAAAAUAUUACUUCAAAUACUCAUGAGACCUAUUAACGCUGCCGACAUAAGAUGGCACAGAAUACGAGUUCUAGAAUCGCAUUUUACCACCUUCUUCCAGGCCUACAUAGUAUACCAGACAGAGACACGCCAAACCAACCAGUAAUGGAGGAAAUGAUGAAAACAUGCACAUACUAUAUCAGGAUUGCAAGGGAAAAUUCAUCAGCAAGUACUGCCAAGGUCCAUGAAUCAUCGAGAACUCCAACGCAAUCAACUAAAUGAUUGGAGAAUGACAGUCGUUCUAUCUGGGAAAUCUCGGAUGCGUUCCGGGUCCAAACCCUCCUCCUUGCUGCUUUUAAAAAACGCAAUGCAACGUCUGAGAUUGGCACAACGGGGAGAGGAGACCGGAACAUUCGUGUGUAUGAGUUCCAAGUUGUGGAAUUCGCGCCGUGCAGGAACAGUACAAACAACACGCAAUUUCGAGCUGUGUCUGUAACGGGGAGCCAUGUUUGGCUCACCAAGCAGCGGAGCGGGAGGCAUAUUUCCAUCAUAAAUCCGUCAUAUGGUAUGAGAGUUAUGCUAAUAACUGCUAGCCAACUUCAGCGGGAAUAGGCUGGAUGAUGGCGGAGCUGGAGGGUUUGUUGGGGAUUCGUCGAUUGUAGAUCUGAUGGGAUAUCCGAUUGUGGAGACGAAUUUAUUGUGGCGGAAAUUGAUCCUGUUAUGAACUGGUGUUUAUGCAAAGAAAGCGGUGAGCGGUCUUCCAUUUUUCUUUGAUGAUUCGGGGGAGGAUGAGGGAGAUAGUAUCUCUCCAUGGUGCCUCUGUUCUGGCCCUUUAUUUUAUUUGUUGACGUUAAAUAAAUGUUUCUUUUGGAUGAUCUGUUGGGUUGUACGAACACUUCUAGAUGUUCGAUUUCGAGUGGCAUAGAAGAAUCGAGGCGUAUGGGAUCAUCUCAUCACAGGUAGUAGUUGUUGAAACCUCUCGUAUGAGAUGUCCACGAGUGUAUUCUGUAGAGUGUUCGAUCUAUAUACCCCUUAUUCCAAUGAGGGAAGACUCUAUUAUUUGUUAUGAUAGAAAGAUUUUCAUCGCGUAAAUAAAACUGGGCGGC